UGGGGAAUAUUGCACAAUGGGCGCAAGCCUGAUGCAGCCAUGCCGCGUGUGUGAAGAAGGCCUUCGGGUUGUAAAGCACUUUCAGCGAGGAGGAAGGUGGUGAGCUUAAUACGCUCAUCAAUUGACGUUACUCGCAGAAGAAGCACCGGCUAACUCCGUGCCAGCAGCCGCGGUAAUACGGAGGGUGCAAGCGUUAAUCGGAAUUACUGGGCGUAAAGCGCACGCAGGCGGUUUGUUAAGUCAGAUGUGAAAAUCCCCGGGCUCAACCUGGGAACUGCAUUUGAAACUGGCAAGCUAGAGUCUCGUAGAGGGGGGUAGAAUUCCAGGUGUAGCGGUGAAAUGCGUAGAGAUCUGGAGGAAUACCGGUGGCGAAGGCGGCCCCCUGGACGAAGACUGACGCUCAGGUGCGAAAAGCGUGGGGAGCAAAACAGGAUUAGAUACCCUGGUAGUCCACGCUGUAAAACGAUGUCGAUUUUGGAGGUUGUGCCCUUGAGGCGUGGCUUCCGGAGCUAACGCGUUAAAUCGACCGCCUGGGGAGUACGGCCGCAAGGUUAAAACU
rnacentral:rRNA from 1 species